rnacentral:rRNA from 1 species
AUUGAACGCUGGCGGCAUGCCUUACACAUGCAAGUCGAACGGCAGCACGGGGCAACCUGGUGGCGAGUGGCGAACGGGUGAGUAAUGCAUCGGAACGUACCUUUCAGUGGGGGAUAACGUAGCGAAAGUUACGCUAAUACCUCAUAUUCUGUGAGCAGGAAAGCAGGGGAUCGCAAGACCUUGCGCUGAUUGAGCGGCCGAUGUCAGAUUAGCUAGUUGGUGAGGUAAAGGCUCACCAAGGCGACGAUCUGUAGCGGGUCUGAGAGGAUGAUCCGCCACACUGGAACUGAGACACGGUCCAGACUCCUACGGGAGGCAGCAGUGGGGAAUUUUGGACAAUGGGGGCAACCCUGAUCCAGCCAUGCCGCGUGAGUGAAGAAGGCCUUCGGGUUGUAAAGCUCUUUCGGCCGGGAAGAAUACCUGGCGGUUAAUACCUGUCAGACUGACAUUACCCAUACAAGAAGCACCGGCUAACUCCGUGCCAGCAGCCGCCGUAAUAC